ACAGCAAAAGACUGAACUUCUACUACAUGACCCCCCCUGACUUGAAAGCUGGAUCCGCGGCUGAUGAGGGAGGAGGAUAAACAUCUUCUCGAGGACACCCAGCAUCCCGAGACACUGGAUAGUGUUGGAUUCUUACCAACUAAAAAACCCCCAUUUUGGAACUACAAGUUUUCAGGAGUUUCUCCUUUGAAACUUGUGGUUCCGUCUAAGAAUGCGUCAGAUCCGGCAUCCGUAUGCCAUCACAUCACAUUCUCUCCACACUAGCUGCUUGCUAGAAUGGGCAUCUUAACUAACUAACCAGAGACAAGUAACUUGUCUCUGUAACUAACUAGUAAAUAGAAGUUUGUUUUAAUUAACGUAAUCUCAAACUAACUUGCGCAUGUCAUUUAAGCAAGGUGCCGAUUGCGAUAUAUGCGGUAGUCACAUAAGCCUUGUUCCAUGCUAGUCACAGAACACCUCUGAACUAUGAAAAGGCUAAAAGGGUGGGGUUUGGCUGGAAAGUAAUUAUUUAUAAAUUUAUUAAAAAUUAUUUUAAUGACUUCAAUUGGAUGGGAUUUCUAAAUAAUAAUCAGAGGCACAACGUGUUUACAUUUUAUUGGUUAACACUAGUGUUCUCUUAGAAUUA